rnacentral:lncRNA from 1 species
UGUGUGUGUGUGUGUUCUGUAGGUGUGUGUGCGCUUUUGUGUGUGAGUGGCUCGGCUGGGCUCUGUCCACUAAUGGCCAGCCCUUGAUUAGAUUAGUACUGCUUAGAUUAGUACUACUAGAUGUAGCUAGUAUUAAUUAUUGCUAAGUUAGUCUAGUAGUAGAUGACAUGUAGGCCCCAUUAAAUAAGUCAGGUUUAUUUAUUUGUUUAGGUAAAUAGUCUAUGACAUGUGGGCUACCACCUCCACUUUUGACUAGUCAAGUUGACUUGGUCAACUCGCAUUAAAAGUAAUUUAGAAAAUCUAGAAUAUUGUUAAAACUUUGAAAAAUCGUAGAAAAUAUACCGUAGCUCCGAUGAAAAAGUUUUGUACAUGAAAGUUGCUCAGAAUGACGAGACGAAUCCGAAUACGCAGCCCAUUCGUCCGCCACACAUUCCUAGCAUAGAAAACAUGCAACUUUCCCCCUCCGGUCCGUUUGUCCGAAAACGCGAAACACCGGGAAUACUUUCCCGGAUGUUUCCCCCCUUCGCCAGUAUCACCUACCACCGCGUUAGGGCACACCUAGCAUCGCGUAUUGCCCUAGUAUGCUUUGUGAUGCUUUGAUUGCUCUGUUAUUUAUUGUGUUCCCCCUCCGUUACUUCUUUCCGGUAGACCCCGAGACCGCUGCCCAUGCCCCUGUGAUCGAUUACAUCGACGACGACCCCUUCUUCUUGCCAGAGCAACCAGGCAAGCCCCCCCUUGAUCACCAAAUAUCGUCUAUUCUUCUCUCUACUGCUUGCAUUAGAGUAGUGUAGCAUGUUACUGCUUUCGUUAAUCCUAUUCUGCUGCAUAGUCUGUCAUUGUUGCUACAGUUGUUACCCUUACCUGCCAUCCUACUGCUUAGUAUAGGAUGCUAGUGUUCCAUCAGUGGCCCUACACUCUUGUCCGUCUGCCAUGCUAUACUACUGGGCCGUGAUCACUUUGGGAGGUGAUCACGGGUAUAUACUAUAUACUUUAUAUACAUGACACAUGUGGUGACUAAAGUCGGGUCGGCUCGUUGAGUACCCGCAAGUGAUUUUGAUGAGGGGGCUGAAAGGACAGGUGGCUCCAUCCCGGUAGAGGUGGGCCUGGGUUCCUGACGGCCCCCGACUGUUACUUUGUGGCGGAGCGACAGGGCAGGUUUAGACCACCCAGGAGAGAGGUGGGCCUAGCCCUGGACGGCAUUCGCGGUUACUUCAAAUAACACGCUUAACGAGUUCUGGGUAUUUGAUCUGAGUCUGGCCAUUUGGUCUAUACGCACUAACCAUCUACGCGGGAGUAGUUAUGGGUAUCCCGACGUCGUGGUAUCAGCCGAAGCUCUUCUUGACGUCAGCGACGGAGCGGCGCGCGCCGGAUUGGACUGGAACGCCUACUAGGCUAGGUCUGCUUCCGGCCGCGUACGCAACGUGCAGGUGUGCAAUGGGCGAUGGGCCCAGACCCCUGCGCGCAUAGGAUUUAGACCGGCGUGUUGACCUCUCUGUUGAGCCUAGGUGGGGCUGCGACGUGUUGAUCUUCCGCGGCCGGGCAUGACCCAGAAAAGUGUGUCCGGCCAAAUGGCAUCGAGCGUGUUGGGUUAUGUGGUGCACCCCUGCAGGGAAGUUUAUCUAUUCGAAUAGCCGUGUCCCUCGGUAAAAGGACGACCCGGAGUUGUACCUUGACCUUAUGACAACUAGAACUAAUACUUAAUAAAACACACCCUUCCAAGUGCCAGAUAUAACCCGGUGAUCGAUCUCUAACAGGGCGACGAGGAGGGGAUCGCUGGGUAGGAUUAUGCUAUACGAUGCUACUUGGAGGACUUCAAUCUACUCUCUUCUACAUGCUGCAAGAUGGAGGCUGCCAGAAGUGUAGUCUUCGACAGGAUUAGCUAUCCCCCUCUUAUUCUGGCUUUCUGCAGUUCAGUCCACUGAUAUGGCCCUUUACACAUAUACCCAUGCAUAUGUAGUGUAGCUCCUUGCUUGUGAGUACUUUGGAAGUACUCACGGUUGCUUUUCUCCCUCUUUUCCCCCAUUCCUUCAUACCCGGUUGUCGCAACCAGAUGCCGGAGCCCAGGAGCCAGACGCCACCGUCGACGACGACUCCUACUACACUGGAGGUGCCUACUACUACGUGCAGCCCGCUGACGACGACCAGGAGUAGUUAGGAGGAUCCUAGGCAGGAGGCCUGCGCCUCUUUCGAUCUGUAUCCCAGUUUGUGCUAGCCUUCUUAAGGCAAACUUGUUUAACUUAUGUCUGUACUCAGAUAUUGUUGCUUCCGCUGACUCGUCUAUGAUCGAGCACUUGUAUUCGAGCCCUCGAGGCCCCUGGCUUGUAUUAUGAUGCUUGUAUGACUUAAUUAUGUUGUAGAGUUGUGUUGUGAUAUCUUCCCGUGAGUCCUUGAUCUUGAUCGUACACAUUUGCGUGCAUGAUUAGUGUACGGUCGAAUCGGGGGCGUCACAAGUUGGUAUCAGAGCCGACUGCCUGUAGGAAUCCACCUUCCAAACUCCUUGGCCGAAGUCGAGUCUAGUCAUUGAAAAACUUUUACUAACAUGGCUGUGUGUCUUACGGGCCCACGUCGCCAUUGGGUGGUACUAGGAUCUUUUACCCCUCGACCUUUACUCUGGGACUCUGAUCUCUCUCCUAUUCGGGUUAAAUGAAUUUUGCUAAUUCUAACAUUAGGAUCUCGUUAUCACUUUCACCCGGAGAGCCCCUUAUUACUGAUGAUCGUCUGCUGCACGUGAGGACCCUGAAGACACCCUACGAUGUUCUCUCGAGACUAUGUGGCAUCGCUUUUACAAUUCCCUACCACCGAUGUAUCCUUAUGGAUAACUACCUACAUUUAUCGUUCAUACAUUCAUCCCCAGUUGAUCUUGUUAUUACAAGAUGCACCGAAGUUCUCUCUAUUGUUUCGAGAAUACUUUAUGCAUACUGCCUUGCAGUUCCUUUCCACUUGAAUAUCCCUACGGAUAAUUCUUCGCUCUUAUCGAGUAUCUACUCAUUCCCAGUUGUUCAUGUGUUUUGCAAAAGACUUCGAAAUACCAUUCGAUCUUCCGAAAAUCCUCAGGAGCCUUUUGCUCUUGAAAUUCUUGCUUACUUGCAUUAUGAUUAAUCUUAAGUCUCGCAAUCUUAUUGGCAUCUCUUGUCAUUAUCAUUUUGAGUCCGUUCAUUCAAUUUGUUGCGAAUGCUCGCAAUCCUCAAUCAGAGCCUAGAAUUCAUCCUUCCGGCUCAGACGUCAUUUGAAACGUGAACUGGUUAUCGACCAAUCAAAUUGCCGUCGAUUGUACCCCUAAGUCUAUUCAACUUAUCCAUUCUUAAUCAGACCAUUGGCUUCUGAUCCCUUGAUUUGGAAAUGAUAAUUCCUUUGCAUUUGAGUUUUGAAUUACUCAAUUGUUUUUAUAGUCCGAUGCCCUUUCGUUCCUUCUUCCUCUGAUAGAGUACCGAUACUCGCAUCAGCUCCGUUGUAGACCACAAGACCCCUUGUUGGGUUAUUAUCCGACAGUGUCCUUCAUAUUCAAUAACACUGUGAUCAUUUCCAUGGAUAUAUAAUGCCUUUGGUAAUUUGUAUCCUCUGCUUGAUAACCAUACUCUACUUUUGAGCUGGUAAUUUUACUCUUGAAGUUUGAGGUAUAUGUUUCUAAGAUGCCCCGAUGGAUUGAACCUAUACCUUCCCUAAAAACCGUAUGAACCCGAAGGUUUUCACAAGUCAUACCCUUCUGGUAUUUUACCAGAUAAUUUUCUACCAUACAACUUCGUCGAAUGCGAGAAGUGAAUGAAAGGUUAUGCAUUGGAGAAGUGGGAGUCGACCUUGAACUUUGUGUUCAUGCCCAUGGACACGAUGUAGAUCUUAUCAUUAAAGCUUCUCUUAAAUUAAUUAUUCCCUGGGUAUAAGUUCAUCUUAUAUCUGGGAUCUGGCCUUUUGCAAUCGUGGUUCUGACCAUGUUCUCCUUUAAAUACCAUUUCUCGUGCAAGUUUAAGCACUUGUCCUCUGCAGAGCAAUACCCCCGUCCAACCUCUACUUUGGUCUGUCGUCGAGUAUUACCCCCCUGGUAUCUCGAGAAUGCCAAGGAACUACAUAACUUCUUAUGAGUUCUUCAUCAACUAAUAUUCUUGCCGAUUCCAUUUUUCCAACGGGUUCUGAGUUGUUAGAACCCCUCAAGGACACCGAUAAGUGAAUCAAUUCCGCACUCCGAUUCAAUAACUCUAAGUAAUUUUUGUUGCUUACGAGUUUAAUAAUCCUUCAAGUCAUUCCUAGCCUGCUCGGCUAUGUCAUUAUCGUGCCGAUUUUAACUGUGCUACCUGGACCUUCCCAGCGCACAAAUUUCGACAGUGAGCUAAUCUUGCGUCGAUCUUCCUCGUCAUAUCACUUCUCCUUGAACAGCAAACUUGAUUUCGAGUUUGUGUCCUACCCGUGGUUUCAAUAGCCUUUGCUUCAUCAUUCCUUUUGCUUGAUGUCAUUGCUGCUUGAUGGCAUCUUCAUAGAGCCUCUCGACAAAAUUUGGUCGUGAUCACCAUCAAUAUACUGCCUUGCUCUAAGAUAUCAAUCAAAUUCUUGAGGAGAAAUACCAUCCUUGCCCGUCGAUGAUUCGUGAUUGUCAUCGACACCAUCCUUGACUUCCUGCCAAUACAGACUUGGUCAUGUUUUGAUUAUAUCUUACGUUCUUUGACAUUCUUGGAAUUGUUCCUUUGUACUUCUUGUGACAUGCAGAUUCAAUCUUGCUUGAAACACCAUGUUAAUGUUACCUCGAAGCAUGACUGUGGUACGCCGAACAACAACAAGAACAUUGGAAGUGCAUUGCCAAAUGUUCUUGCUCUAUUAUCCAAACACCGUUGUAUGUAUAACAUCAUGAAUUCCCUUGCCCCUUUAUCCAAAUGGUGAUGUACUUGUUGAUCUAACAUGUAUAUCAUGCUCUACUUUUCCUUGGGAAAAGUUACACUCCUAAAUCUUGUGUAUAAACACAUUUUCCUCUCCAUUGGUUUGCUUAACCUUUCUUGUGAUCUAUAUAUGUUAUAAGCAGAAAUAAAUCCCUGCUUAUGGAAACACCUCGGUUUACAACUCCGUCAGUGUGAACCUGUUACUAUUGCUGACGACAUCCUGGUAACCCCCGAUGGACGAGAACUUUGCCUAUUGGUCCGCCUCGUUUCAACGAGUAGGAAAAUGGUUCUCUUUGUCCCUCGCCCUUGGUACAAAUGUUGUUGCCAACAUAACUGACAAGCUAUCCUCUGCCAUGCCUUGCUACCAUGACCGUGCAAUAUGUCGGCGUCCUUCCUACUUUUGAACCACAUGGUGGGCCAAUAACCCACAUUUCCACAGGAUCGAAACCUGACUCCUGUACAUCCUUGAUUCCGAAGUAUCCUUUUUCACUUGCCUUCGUACGUAAUUCAUGAGCCACCUUCCUGGUGAUCUAUUCUAGUAUCAGGCACAAUAAUUUUUGUUGUUGUUGCUCUGAACCCCUUUCACCUUUUGAUUAGGUAUCGAAUGAUUGUCUGCCCGUUAAAACUUCUCAUGGUACCUUCUUACCUUGCUCUCAAUGACUUUAUGAAAUUUCAACCCCAGAGAUACCUUGUACCUUAUUCCCUAAGAUAACUACCGAGAACAAGUCCUUGCAAGCAUUCUCCCUAUUGUCCCCCCCCAAUAUCCUUUUCGUAAGUACGAUGAAGAUCCCGAAGGAAGGAUGAUGACUUCAUCAUGACGACCUGAAGCAAAGGUAUGAAGACAUCAACGUUAUGAAUCGACUUCUUCGAGAAGGACAACCAUGACCGAGAAGAUCCGUUAGAAUAUUGUAACCAGAACUUCCCCCCUUACUCCACGUCUAAAAUCUCGGGACGUGAUUUCUUGUAGUGGAGGAGAUUUGUAACACCCCGGGUGUCAUGCUACAGUAAAGUCCUAUUAAUGGUGCCACAUCAUCAUUAUUAAAUUUUGCUAAUCAUCACCUUGUCCCAAAGCGACCUCAAAUUCAAAUUUAAAAGACAAGUCAAAAUUAUUUCUCCUCAAGCUAUAAAACUAAAAUGUUUGAAUAGUUCUAUACAAUUUCCCUGUUCAAUGUCAUGUGAAACCAACUUGGUUUGACUCACAAAUAAAUUCCUAGGAAAUUAAUAAGUGGUCCAAACUCAUUUAAAUUGGCCUUUUUCAAAAUAAGCAAAUAUUUAUAAUUUUCCAAAUGAUGUGAAACAUUGUGUGUGGUAUCAAAAUAUUGCCUACUAAUUAUGUGCCAACUUUCAAGUUGAACUAAAUUUAAUUACUUUGGCAAUUAAGUAGAAAACAGUACGAAAUUAAUAAAGAAGAAAACUUAAAAAAGAAAAUGGGCCAAGUGCACACUGUGCACUAGAAGCCUAGUGCUACAGUAGGGCGGCCCAAGCCCACCAGGGCCUUCUCCAUCUUCUCUGUACAGGAGGCAGAGACCUGUGCGUGGCGCACAUCCACGCCUCCAUGACCGCCGUGUCGACCAUCCGGCGAGUCCCCGCGGUGUACAAGACCAUCCCCAAGCCCAGGACAAACCCUAGACGCCCAGUUCCCUCGUUUCCCCCUCGCACUCGAUCUGGAAGAGGAGCCGAAGCUUCCGGCGCCGCGCCAUAGUCGUCAUCGCGGCCGCUGGCCUCCCCUUGCUGCACCAAGGUGUCCAGAAGCCUCUCCGCGCUCGUCUUCUUCGUCCCCACCGAAGAACCGAGCCAAGCCGCACCGUACGCUCGGGAUCGAGCCGGUUUCUCCGCCAUGGCCGCGGCAUCUCAACGUCGAUGUACACCACCGCACCACCCCCGCCGUCACAAGCACGUCCCCGACCUCCCUCUCGGUGAGCUGCGCCGAUUUCCCCUGUUCCCCGCUCAAUCCACCGCCGUAGCCGCCGUAGCCAAACGCCCCAUCUCACUGCAUGGACGCGCUCACCGCGACUUUGCCGCGCCCGCGCCGCUCUGGCCCCGCGCCCCGGCUGCUCCGUGCGCGCUCUGGGUUCCCCUGCCGCGUCGUGGCCGUGCCUCCCCAAGCGCCGCCCACGCCCGUUCACGCCUCUGCGCGCGGCGGCCGCGCCCUUGCUCUGUUGCUGCUGCGCAGCGCUGCUACCUGCUAUUGCUUUGCUUGCUGUUGCCUGCUUGCUGCUUAGCUGCUGCUUUGCUAGCUCCUGCUAAACUGCUGCUGGCUGCUCGCUACAGUUGCUGCUCAUAGUUGAUGCUGCCGCCGCCGCUUUGCUCCGGUCGCUGCUUGCUCCCGCUCCUGUUUUCUGCUGCUAAGCUGCUGCGUACUAUGUGUGUGUGUGUGUGUGUGUGUGUGUGUGUUCUGUAGGUGUGUGUGCGCUUUUGUGUGUGAGUGGCUCGGCUGGGCUCUGUCCACUAAUGGCCAGCCCUUGAUUAGAUUAGUACUGCUUAGAUUAGUACUACUAGAUGUAGCUAGUAUUAAUUAUUGCUAAGUUAGUCUAGUAGUAGAUGACAUGUAGGCCCCAUUAAAUAAGUCAGGUUUAUUUAUUUGUUUAGGUAAAUAGUCUAUGACAUGUGGGCUACCACCUCCACUUUUGAC